GAUGAACGCUGGCGGCGUGCCUAAUACAUGCAAGUCGAGCGAACGGACGAGAAGCUUGCUUCUCUGAUGUUAGCGGCGGACGGGUGAGUAACACGUGGAUAACCUACCUUUAAGACUGGGAUAACUUCGGGAAACCGUAGCUAAUACCGGAUAAUAUUUUGAACCGCAUGGUUCAAAAGUGAAAGACGGUCUUGCUGUCACUUAUAGAUGGAUCCGCGCUGCAUUAGCUAGUUGGUAAGGUAACGGCUUACCAAGGCAACGAUGCAUAGCCGACCUGAGAGGGUGAUCGGCCACACUGGAACUGAGACACGGUCCAGACUCCUACGGGAGGCAGCAGUAGGGAAUCUUCCGCAAUGGGCGAAAGCCUGACGGAGCAACGCCGCGUGAGUGAUGAAGGUCUUCGGAUCGUAAAACUCUGUUAUUAGGGAAGAACAUAUGUAUAAGUAACUGUGCACAUCUUGACGGUACCUAAUCAGAAAGCCACGGCUAACUACGUG
rnacentral:rRNA from 1 species